GACCAGCACCCCGAGUGGUCGGGACGAUUAUUGGGCCUAAAGCAUCCGUAGCCGGUCAUGCAAGUCCUCCGUUAAAUCCACCUGCUUAACAGAUGGGCUGCGGAGGAUACUACAAGGCUAGGAGGCGGAAGAGGCAAGCGGUACUCAGUGGGUAGGGGUAAAAUCCUCUGAUCCAUUGAAGACCACCAGUGGCGAAGGCGGCUUGCCAAUACGCGCUCGACGGUGAGGGAUGAAAGCUGGGGGAGCAAACCGG
rnacentral:rRNA from 1 species